rnacentral:lncRNA from 1 species
AUGAACACUUUAGAGGAAGAUAACUUCUUACUGUCUUUCUCCUCCACCUCUGCUGAACAAUUUUAUUCUGUAGCUGGAUAUUUAUACUACAUUAUGGUGGAUAACGAGUUGUAGUUAUUACAGAGAAAUUUCUUGGACAUAUACUGUCAGGAAUUUGAAGACAAGUUAAAGAAUAAACUCACCUACAUGACUACUUUUAAUGAAUAUAUUUAUUUGGUGGAAAAGUAUAUUAAAGACCAGCUGCUGGGGCAGAUGCUUGGAUUUAACAUGGCAGCCUUAUGACAUUACAGCACCAUAAAGAUGAAGCGGUUGGUGACAUAUUUGACAUACUGUUCACAUUUACAGGUUUGAUAGCAUUUAAAGAAUGAUUUCUGGACCACAAAGAAGAAAAACAAGGCUGGGGUUGGACUUAAGCAGUGGUUUACUGGUGACUUCAUUGUGUAAAUCAUCUUCUAUGUUAGCUUCCCAGAACGAUCUGAAG